UACGUAGGGCGCAAGCGUUGUCCGGAAUUAUUGGGCGUAAAGAGCUCGUAGGCGGCUUGUCACGUCGGGUGUGAAAGCCCGGGGCUUAACCCCGGGUCUGCAUUCGAUACGGGCAGGCUAGAGUGUGGUAGGGGAGAUCGGAAUUCCUGGUGUAGCGGUGAAAUGCGCAGAUAUCAGGAGGAACACCGGUGGCGAAGGCGGAUCUCUGGGCCAUUACUGACGCUCAUGCACGAAAGCGUGGGGAGCAAACAGG
rnacentral:rRNA from 1 species